GACGAACGCUGGCGGCGUGCUUAACACAUGCCAGUCGAACGGAAAGGCCCUGCUUGCAGGGUACUCGAGUGGCGAACGGGUGAGUAACACGUGGGUGAUCUGCCCUGCACUUCGGGAUAAGCCUGGGAAACUGGGUCUAAUACCGGAUAGGAGCCAUUUUUAGUGUGAUGGUUGGAAAGUUUUUUCGGUGUAGGAUGAGCUCGCGGCCUAUCAGCUUGUUGGUGGGGUAAUGGCCUACCAAGGCGGCGACGGGUAGCCGGCCUGAGAGGGUGGACGGCCACAUUGGGACUGAGAUACGGCCCAGACUCCUACGGGAGGCAGCAAUGGGGAAUAUUGCACAAUGGGCGCAAGCCUGAUGCAGCGACGCCGCGUGGGGGAUGACGGCCUUCGGGUUGUAAACUCCCUUCGCUAGGGACGAAGCUUUUUGUGACGGUACCUAGAUAAGAAGCACCGGCUAACUACGUG
rnacentral:rRNA from 1 species